GAUGAACGCUGGCGGCGUGCCUAAUACAUGCAAGUCGAGCGAACGGACGAGAAGCUUGCUUCUCUGAUGUUAGCGGCGGACGGGUGAGUAACACGUGGAUAACCUACCUAUAAGACUGGGAUAACUUCGGGAAACCGGAGCUAAUACCGGAUAAUAUUUUGAACCGCAUGGUUCAAAAGUGAAAGACGGUCUUGCUGUCACUUAUAGAUGGAUCCGCGCUGCAUUAGCUAGUUGGUAAGGUAACGGCUUACCAAGGCAACGAUGCAUAGCCGACCUGAGAGGGUGAUCGGCCACACUGGAACUGAGACACGGUCCAGACUCCUACGGGAGGCAGCAGUAGGGAAUCUUCCGCAAUGGGCGAAAGCCUGACGGAGCAACGCCGCGUGAGUGAUGAAGGUCUUCGGAUCGUAAAACUCUGUUAUUAGGGAAGAACAUAUGUGUAAGUAACUGUGCACAUCUUGACGGUACCUAAUCAGAAAGCCACGGCUAACUACGUGCCAGCAGCCGCGGUAAUACGUAGGUGGCAAGCGUUAUCCGGAAUUAUUGGGCGUAAAGCGCGCGUAGGCGGUUUUUUAAGUCUGAUGUGAAAGCCCACGGCUCAACCGUGGAGGGUCAUUGGAAACUGGAAAACUUGAGUGCAGAAGAGGAAAGUGGAAUUCCAUGUGUAGCGGUGAAAUGCGCAGAGAUAUGGAGGAACACCAGUGGCGAAGGCGACUUUCUGGUCUGUAACUGACGCUGAUGUGCGAAAGCGUGGGGAUCAAACAGGAUUAGAUACCCUGGUAGUCCACGCCGUAAACGAUGAGUGCUAAGUGUUAGGGGGUUUCCGCCCCUUAGUGCUGCAGCUAACGCAUUAAGCACUCCGCCUGGGGAGUACGACCGCAAGGUUGAAACUCAAAGGAAUUGACGGGGACCCGCACAAGCGGUGGAGCAUGUGGUUUAAUUCGAAGCAACGCGAAGAACCUUACCAAAUCUUGACAUCCUUUGACAACUCUAGAGAUAGAGCUUUCCCCUUCGGGGGACAAAGUGACAGGUGGUGCAUGGUUGUCGUCAGCUCGUGUCGUGAGAUGUUGGGUUAAGUCCCGCAACGAGCGCAACCCUUAAGCUUAGUUGCCAUCAUUAAGUUGGGCACUCUAAGUUGACUGCCGGUGACAAACCGGAGGAAGGUGGGGAUGACGUCAAAUCAUCAUGCCCCUUAUGAUUUGGGCUACACACGUGCUACAAUGGACAAUACAAAGGGCAGCGAAACCGUGAGGUCAAGCAAAUCCCAUAAAGUUGUUCUCAGUUCGGAUUGUAGUCUGCAACUCGACUACAUGAAGCUGGAAUCGCUAGUAAUCGUAGACCAGCAUGCUACGGUGAAUACGUUCCCGGGUCU
rnacentral:rRNA from 1 species